AGCAGUCGCCGCGGUAAUACGGAGGGAGCUAGCGUUGUUCGGAAUUACUGGGCGUAAAGCGCACGUAGGCGGUUAUUCAAGUCAGAGGUGAAAGCCCGGGGCUCAACCCCGGAACUGCCUUUGAAACUAGAUGACUGGAAUCUUGGAGAGGUCAGUGGAAUUCCGAGUGUAGAGGUGAAAUUCGUAGAUAUUCGGAAGAACACCAGUGGCGAAGGCGACUGACUGGACAAGUAUUGACGCUGAGGUGCGAAAGCGUGGGGAGCAAACAGGAUUAGAUACCCGUGUAGUCCCUGUCUCUUAUAU
rnacentral:rRNA from 1 species